UAGCCUCAGCUCCGUCCCGUCAGCACCGGCCAGCCAACCUGAAAACAUUUGAAAGUAUUUUUGGGCUAAGUACUAAUGUACUUAGUGGGCAUGCAUUUUCUGAAACAUUUCAUAUUUUAAUAAAGACAGUUUAUCCAAUCAUACUUGACAUGACUUAGAAGGUUUUAAAUUGAAAGAAGUACUUCUAAGCAUGUUAAAACAUUUUCUUUCAUUUGUGCGCACAUGUCACACUCCCUUUCUGUUACUCGCUGUGAUCCCGGACCUUUUAGCCACCGACGGAUCCAUUUCUCCCAUUGCACUUGCCCUGAGGACGUAACU
rnacentral:lncRNA from 1 species